rnacentral:rRNA from 1 species
AUUGAACGCUGGCGGCAUGCUUUACACAUGCAAGUCGAACGGUAACAGGCCGCAAGGUGCUGACGAGUGGCGAACGGGUGAGUAAUGCAUCGGAACGUGCCCAGUCGUGGGGGAUAACGCAGCGAAAGCUGCGCUAAUACCGCAUACGAUCUCUGGAUGAAAGCGGGGGACCGAAAGGCCCCGCGCGAUUGGAGCGGCCGAUGGUAGAUUAGGUAGUUGGUGGGGUAAAGGCCCACCAAGCCAACGAUCUGUAGCUGGUCUGAGAGGACGACCAGCCACACUGGGACUGAGACACGGCCCAGACUCCUACGGGAGGCAGCAGUGGGGAAUUUUGGACAAUGGGCGCAAGCCUGAUCCAGCAAUGCCGCGUGCAGGAAGAAGGCCUUCGGGUUGUAAACUGCUUUUGUACGGAACGAAACGGUCCGGGUUAAUACCCUGGGCUAAUGACGGUACCGUAAGAAUAAGCACCGGCUAACUACGUGCCAGCAGCCGCCGUAACAC